ACUGGGACAGAGAAGCCGAGUGGACUGGUUAUACUGGGACAGAGAGGCCGAGUGGACUGGUUAUAUUAGCCUGAGCACGGUGAACCUGGAGCAGGUCAACGAAAAUCCCGUUCGGACUGAUGACUUUGAAGUGGGUGAGGCGGCGGGCGUCGUCCCGUUCACACAUCUCCACCGGCUGGUAUUCGGCCUCGUGGGACGUGCUGAUGAACCAGCCUUUGCACCGGACGGACUCGAACGUGGUCAGAGACCUGCCCGUGGUCUUCUGGUAGAAGAGGAACCGGUCCAUGUCUCCGUCGGCGCUGAUCUUCUUUAAAUCCUCCUUGCUGCGUUCCUGCCGGACAGACGAAGAGAAAAUGUGUCUCAUUCGUUCUCUAAGGCAGGACAUGUGCAGCGUGUUGGUGAUGGACAGGAGGACGGCCCCGACUUCAUCAGCCGAGACGUCGGGAGUGAUAGUCACGGCCUGCAGCUUUAACCCCCCUGACGCCUGGACGAUGUAUUUCUGUGAAUGGUCACACAGUGUGUGAAGAGGACCGCUGUUGAGGCGCUGGAAUAUUCUCUUCACGCCUGUGGACGAAGCCUCGGUCGCCGUGACGAUUGUUACUGUGGAGAGAUGGAGGCAGAUGUUAGAGGAGGAAUCAGGAUGUCUCAUCCCGGGCUGCUCGCUUUCAACGUAAUCUCUCAUUCUGCAUUUCUUUCAUUGUUCUUUCUGAAAAAAAUGUAGCGUGUUCCUGGAGUUUACUUUCCAUAUUCUCAGUACAAAUUGAAAUUGAAACCUUUUUGUGAUUUGUGAGCAUCGUAGACAUCUAUAAUCAAUAACCUACAUCUGG